GCCUGUAGCUCAGUUGGUUAGAGCAGUGGACUCAUAAUCCAUUGGUCGAAGGUUCGAGUCCUUCCGGGCC
rnacentral:tRNA from 2 species